AACGAACGCUGGCGGCAUGCCUAACACAUGCAAGUCGAACGCCCCGCAAGGGGAGUGGCGAACGGGUGAGUAACGCGUGGGAACCUACCCAGCAGUUGGGGAUAACCGCGGGAAACUGCGGCUAAUACCGAAUACGUCCUUAGGGAGAAAGAUUUAUCGCCGUUGGAGGGGCCCGCGUCGGAUUAGCUAGUUGGUGAGGUAACGGCUCAACAAGGCGACGAUCCGUAGCUGGUCUGAGAGGAUGAUCAGCCACACUGGGACUUAGACACGGCCCAGACUCCUACGGGAGGCAGCAGUGGGGAAUAUUGGACUAUGGGGGCAACCCUGAUCCAGCAAUGCCGCGUGAGUGAUGAAGGCCUUAGGGUUGUAAAGCUCUUUUACCGGGGACGAUGAUGACGGUACCCGGAGAAUAAGCCCCGGCUAACUUCGUGCCAGCCGCCGCGGUAA
rnacentral:rRNA from 1 species